UGCGCCCGUAGCUCAGCUGGAUAGAGCACCCGCCUUCUAAGCGGGUGGUCGCAGGUUCGAAUCCUGCCGGGCGCGCCAU
rnacentral:tRNA from 1 species